rnacentral:lncRNA from 1 species
UAACGGGCGGGAAAGGACAAGAAAGGCAGAGAGGUCGGCCCUGGCCACGAUGGAGUCUGUCUAAGGUAGCCCGGACAGAGCUGCGCUCAGCCUUGCAUGGGAGAAGGGCCAGGACAGGCACGGGCGUGCUGGACAGUUCCCGGUUUCUAGUUCUCUGUAUCCGGCGACCAAUGCCCUAGGCCGCGACCCCGCAGCCAGGCCUACUUCCCUGCUGGGACUGCGCAUUUCCAGAAUGCUUGCCUGUUUUUCCACCAGAUAUUUAAACGCAGCUGGGACUGCAGUGAGCUUCACUUGUCAUGAAGGAGAGUGGGCAGCUGCUUUUUGGGGAAGAACUCCUCAGCUGUACAGCCCAAAGGCAGCAAUGAGAAACAGGAAGGAUGCACUGGCCCUUGCUGUCUAACACGUGUCACUGAUGUGAAGUUUACCCAUCGAGAAAGAAGUAUCACUACCAGACAUGAAGAGGAGCCAGCAAGAUACUCUUAAGGAAAUUCUAUUACUUCUGCUAGGCUCAGACCCAAGCAGAAAGGCAAUGCCAUCAGUUCUUUAGCUGGUGUGAUCAAAGCAAAAAGGGAACUCCACAUCUCCAAGAUCUUCUGGAACAGAACGACUCAAAGAAGAGAAACUAAGGUCCCUGUGGCAGCAUCUACCAAAAACACUGCAAUUGAUCAACACUAUUCUCCG